UACCUGCUGUCUUUAUGUCCAAUACUGACACCAACUAAGUGACAGGCAGACAGAAAGAAUACAUUGAUGGAAAAUGUCAAACAUCAAAAUGUCAAUUGUAAACUUGGGGUGACGAGAAGCAUUGAACUAACAGAAGCCUGUUGUAACCAGAUUUGAAUUUCAAACUGUAUCACAGGCUCAAGUGACACAGAUUUCUGAUUGGUUGAACACAGUGGGAGGGAAAACGCUGUGGCUGACGUCACUAACGGGCAGGAGACGGUAAGCGGCGGGAGAAGUGCAGAGAACGAGAGACUUUGGACUAGCGACUGUCGAAUGUUUUCUGUGUUUUAACAAUCCAUGGGAUGAAUCUUCAACAUUCAUAUUGCUUGUCUUUAAAAGAUUCAAGUAAAAACUUUGGAGUUUGCACGUGAUCUUCUGCUGGCCUACUUGGAGGAAAAGGAAGAUGCAAUGUUUUUCCAUGUGGAUGACGUGUGCCUUCCAGAAGAAGUAAAUACAGAUGACAUGAAUAUGACUCCUAAUCAUUGUAGUAUGCGUCAGCUGUCAGCUCUAUCAGAACAAAAUGGAAGAGUUUGGGAACAACAGCAACUCGGCCACCGACCACGGCAUUCCUGCCUUUCUGCAAGAAAGUUCAUGCUGAGUCUGGAUGGAAUUGUUGUGCAAGCCAACAAUACUUCCUUUAUCUCUCUGCUAUGCAUGAUGUUCCCAAACUACUAAACCUUCAACAUCCACCAUCCACCGGAGCUGGCAUCAACUUUGGAGUAUCUCCAGAGGACCCAGUGGAGCAUUCAUGAGCUUGUUAGCCGACACGGCAGAAGGCGAGUCUGUCUCCCAGAGUCCAGAUGAGAUUGAAGAAAAGGAGGAAGAGGAGGAUUUGUACAAGAAUUAAGAUAAAUGGAUAACCCGUCAAUGUAAGGAUCACGUCAUCUGGACCCCAUAGGAUAGCACAGAAGACAUCAACUAUCAUCAAAUUCUAAAAAGAGAGGAAUAGAAGAAGCCGACACCAACCGUGGACUGGCCUCAUCUUCAGAUUCCAGGUCAGUCAGCUCCAGAGCCACAGUCAGUGAGACGGCUACGCUUGAAGCCCAAACUACACACGAUGCACCCCAACAACCCUGCUGCUAAGAACAUUGGAACGACAGAACUCUGCAGGCCAUCAGGAUCUACUUCUGUAAAACACAAAGAGAACAUCUGAGUUCUGACGGAACCAUGAACCGGUCCAGUAUGUGGACUCUACUCUCUUUGGCCCUCUGGACGGGCAGGGGGAGCUUCCAUCCAUUUUCUAUUCCGUUUUUCCCUUUCGGGGUCACGGGGCUGUCGGAGCCUAUCCCGGCCACUUGUGGGCGAAGGC